CCAUCAAAGCCUCCAAAGCCAAAAGCGCGGAGCCAGAAAUGAUGGGUAUGUCAUCACCAGGAAACUCAUAAGAAGACAAUAACUCGCGCACCUCCAAUUCCACCAGCUGCAAAAGCUCCUCGUCAUCAACCUGGUCCUGUUUAUUCAGAAAAACAACCAUGUUGGGAACUCCAACUUGUUUUGCCAGCAAGACGUGCUCCUUCGUUUGGGGCAUGGGGCCGUCGGCGCCGGAGACGACAAGGAUUGCGCCGUCCAUCUGAGCAGCACCAGUAAUCAUAUUUUU
rnacentral:misc_RNA from 1 species